rnacentral:rRNA from 1 species
GAUGAACGCUAGCGGCAGGCUUAAUACAUGCAAGUCGAGGGGCAGCAUGUUGUAGCAAUACACUGAUGGCGACCGGCAAACGGGUGCGGAACACGUACGCAACCUACCCAAAACUGAUGAAUAGCCCUCCGAAAGGAGGAGUAAUACAUCGUAACUUAAUGAAGUGGCAUCACUUGAUUAAUAUAGAUCCGGCGGUUUUUGAUGGGCGUGCGACUGAUUAGGAAGUUGGCGGGGUAAGGGACCAACAGGACUACGAUCAGUAACUGGUGUGAGAGCACGACCAGUCACACGGGCACUGAGACACGGGCCCGACUCCUACGGGAAGCAGCAGUAAGGAAUAUUGGUCAAUGGACGCAAGUCUGAACCAGCCAUGCCGCGUGAAGGAUGAAGGUCCUCUGGAUUGUAAACUUCUUUUAUAUGGGACGAAACCUCUUAUUCUUAAGAGACUGACGGUACCAUAGGAAUAAGCACCGGCUAACUUCGUGCCAGCCGCCGCGGUAAUAC